UACUUACCUUCCUCUUCUGCAGCUGUCACCCACUUUCAACUAAAUCUUGUAGAUUCAUUACAGAAUUGUAUCUUGAACCUGGCUCCUUCUACCUGCUCCCGUGGACAGUGACUUCAUUUAGAGAUGAAGAAAUUAAAGCUCAGAGAGGUAUGACUUUGACCCAAGGUGACAUGGCCAGAGUGCAAUGCAACCAGGAUUAGAAUCCAAGAAGAUGACCCUAGCCUGUUACCUCCUGACAACUAAGACGAUGUGGUGCCUAGCACAUAUGGUGCAAUCAACAAAUGUCUGGUGAAUAUGGAUGAACGAAUGUAUGAAAUCCUUGAGAACAAUCAAGACUCAGAGAUGAUAUGUUAAGAAUUCUCGCCAAGAAGGAAAGCACAGCAAAGUACAUCAUUUGAAAAGAUUUUGAUGCUUCUGAUAACCUUUAGGAGGAGACCUCACAAUCCAAAUCUAUGUCCAGACAAAUGGAAUAUAUGUCUCCAUUCCUCAAGCAGAAGGAGUCUCUCCCCAUGGCCUCCCCAACCCCAGGCCCAUGGCAAGUGCUACCUGGCUACCACCAAUGACAAUUCGAAGCCCAAGAUUUCUUCAGUCUGCUUAUGGUUAACACUACCAGGCCUCGAACUCUCCCUUUAGGGCAGUGAUCGCCCCUCUGGCCUUGGGUAAGUCCAGAAAUACCAUCCAGGAACCAAGUCCUGGAAUUGGGGACUCUAAGAACUCACAUAUUACCCUACCCCACUGUUACUGAGCUGGUACACAGGCUACAAGAUGAAGUCUCCUUUACUUUUCCCUCUUCUUUUCUCAAGCAAAAGGAGUCUACUCCCAUGACUACAACAGCUGGGAAUGUGUUGAGUUACACCUGCAGCCAUCACAGCACUGGGUCUCACCCAAGGUCCACAGCAAGUGUUGCCUGGCUACCACUGGUGUUGAUUCAAGGCCCAAGCUCUCUCUAAUUAGCAGGUGAUGAAUCUUUCCAGAAUUGGGUGCCGCCCUUCAAGGCACCAUGUUCUCUUCAGAUUCAGUUUAGAAAUAUCAUCCAGGAGCCAGGGCCUGGAAUACGAGUUUCAGGACUCUGCCUCAUGCUGUAUCCUACUGUGGCUGAGCUGGUGUCCAAAUUGCAAGACA
rnacentral:lncRNA from 1 species